rnacentral:rRNA from 1 species
ACGGUGAGGGAUGAAAGCUGGGGGAGCAAACCGGAUUAGAUACCCGGGUAGUCCCAGCUGUAAACGAUGCAGACUCGAUGAUGCAAUGGCAUAGAGCUAUUGCAGUAUCGCAGGGAAGCCGUUAAGUCUGCCGCCUGGGAAGUACGUACGCAAGUAUGAAACUUAAAGGAAUUGGCGGGGGAGCACCACAAGGGGUGAAGCCUGCGGUUCAAUUGGAGUCAACGCCU